GGAAAGGAUCUCUGGUUGGAGAUCCCUCCUCUGUGGAGUCUUUCCUGUGAACUAAGAUCUGUGGAUGCAGGGGCUUUGUGAGCUCCAUCUGGAGAUGAGACCAUCCUUCAUGUGUGGAAGGACAAGAAUGCUGUCUUUUCCUUUGAGCAAGAAUCAGAGAACCCAUCACUAUGGAUUCAUCUCUGCUGUACUUCCCAGCAGAUUGCAUCAAGGAUGAUUCAGCUGCUGUAACUUCCUCGUGAAAUCUCAUGAGUUGGAAGGGAACUUCCCUGAUGAGAGCACCGCAGGAUGCGAUACCACAUAGAGGAGGACCCAAGUCAUGGGUGAUGUGCUCUGGAAGCUGCUGCUACUCAGGUGUAAGCAGAGAAAUAGGGUGAGAUGGAUUCAGAGCACACACCUGAGCUCCCUGGGGCAGCAGUGUGCUCUGGUGGCCCCUUGGCUCCUGCACAGCUGCCCUGUCCCAUUGCACCAGAUGUGAUGUGAGAUCUCUCUGGGCAGCCUGCUACCCAUUAACACCAGGGAGGGCAGGCAUCUUAAACUCAAAUUCCUGAACCACGCAGCUUUGAUGCACAACGUGGGCUCAGUUUAUGUUUAUUCCAAAGAGUGGAAGAGGACUGGGCUACCUGCUGCUUUCCCAGCUUCCUCCCCACGGAGCAGCAACGAGGAGGCAGCAGUGCCCAGGGGCUCCUGCGAUUUGAGCGCUCCUCUUCCUGUGCAAUGGCCCGUGCCUUGUGACCUACAUUUGCUGAAGGGAAUGGGUGAUAUUUACUGGCCUGAUUCCUUCAUUUUUAAGGCAUGGUUGAGCUCAGAGCCCCCAGGAGUCAGCUUCUCCGCUAUGCCUUGAACAGGACACAAAAAGGAAGUGGGGAAUCACUUCAAGAAGCGAUGGUCACCACCAACACUGUACCUCUAACCCAGGCUGAAACUGCAACAGGAGCAAACCCCCCAGGGCAAUGUGCUGUAGCAUUGUGCUUAGACCCUGAAACAAACCAAAAUGGAGGAGCAAGUGAAAGCAUGUUUUUUAAGCUCAAAACUGCUUGUUUAUUCUGAAAUAAAAGCCCAAAGUGAGCUCUGCCUUUGCAGCUCACCCUGUGCACCGAGUCCUGCCCAGCCCUGCUGCUCUCUGAGGAUCACAGGGCAAACCAAACCCCAGCAUGGGACGAGCUGCCCAUCUGACCUGGGUCAGCCCCUGCCUAGCAGGAUAUGAGGGAGACAACCUCCUCAAGCCCCCAUCACAGCAGCUCCACACAGCCUUGGGCUCUUUUGGUGAAAACACUUGGCACCCAAACCGGUUUCUCUUGCAGGCAGCUCUGCAACAGGCUGCAAUUGUAUUUUGUCAAGUGGUUUUAGAAAAGCUAUCCAGAUUUAUUAGCCAUGUGGAUUAGAGAAAUGAUGUUCUUGAUUCUAACUGCUGGCUUAGCCUUGCCUUCAUCAAAGAACAGAAUAACUUUACGCAUUCUUCUCUUCCCACGUCAUGAAGAAUUUGUUUCUCCUGCACACUUUAUUUACCUCUGCAGGCAGUACAUGUGGCUCUCAGACAAACCCAUGUUGAGCCCAGAACACCUGCCUGACUCCAGGUCGCAGCCUUGGGUACAACUCUCCCAGUGCUGCUGUUGUCCUGCAGCUUUCCAGAAGGGCAGAGGAGCUGUGGCAGAGAAUUCUGCAAAAUCACCUCAAGCUAAUUUUUUAUGAAAGCUCAUAGAGAAAGGAAGGAGGUCUGUCUGUCACAUGCCAUCUCUCUUUGUCACCCUCCCACUGCCUUUUAGUCUUGAUCUAGAUGCAGAGAUGUUCCUCUUUGCUUUGAUGAUAGCCACCUACUUCAUUAUUCAUUCUGCCAGCCCAUCCAGCAGGGACCCGUAGGGACAAAGCUCUUCAGACCACAUGCAGACAGCAUCGUUCAUGUUUUAGUUGGAGAUUCUCUGUCACUAUUACCACACAGGAAGGGUGGGCCCUCAUUGCUGUGAUCUGCAUCUGCUGGCUGUGCCUGUCCCCAGUGGUGCUGAUGGGUGACAUCAGUCACCCAUGGAGACCCACAGAGACAUUGGUCUCUAUUAGUGCUGCUGGUGUGCAACUGCAGGCUGAGGCAGACUGCUGUGGCCCUACUGCUCCUGCCUCCAACACUCCUUUCCUCCUAUUCUCAUGGGGUCUGUCUUUAAUUCAGCUCCUGCCUUCAUUAACUGGGGACUGGGGUAUUGAUUCAGCAGCCACUAAGACGAAGGAGCUGAGCUCAAAUCGUUGUUAUUUAUAGAGAUGUACGUCACUGUAGAACUUCCAAAACGAGGACAUGCGUGAGCUCAUUGGGACAACUGUUUCCUUGGGAGAGAAGGAAAACUAUCCCUGCCACACCUGGAUCCCAUCCCUGCAGCUCCCGGCUCCACUCCCUCCUCCCACCUGCGUUCCCAUGUAUUUGCUGCAGCAGUCGCAGAGCAUCACAGCUGAGGGGGAGAUGGGGAAAGCGCCCUUCUUUCUGACACCCUGUGUGGUACAGAGAAUGAUGCUCAGUUUUCACCACCCACCUCCACCCCCAGAGGCUGUGGCACAGCUGGAAACUGCUGCAUGAUGGCCCCUGUGCCACGCUGCCCUCUGUGCCCAUCUCUCCUGCUGGGUUUGCAACUCACUGUAACUCUUCCCAUCAUUUCAGUUAGACAGCUCAAAGUAU